UACGGGGGGGGCAAGCGUUGUUCGGAAUUACUGGGCGUAAAGGGCUCGUAGGCGGCCAACUAAGUCAGACGUGAAAUCCCUCGGCUUAACCGGGGAACUGCGUCUGAUACUGGAUGGCUUGAGUUUGGGAGAGGGAUGCGGAAUUCCGGGUGUAGCGGUGAAAUGCGUAGAUAUCUGGAGGAAUACCGGUGGCGAAGGCGGCAUCCUGGACCGGCAUUGACGCUGAGUGAGCGAAAGCCAGGGGAGCAAACGGG
rnacentral:rRNA from 1 species